rnacentral:rRNA from 1 species
UACGAAGGGUGCAAGCGUUACUCGGAAUCACUGGGCGUAAAGCGUGCGUAGGCGGUUCGUUAAGUCUGUUGUGAAAGCCCUGGGCUCAACCUGGGAACUGCAGUGGAUACUGGCGAGCUAGAGUACGGUAGAGGAAGGUGGAACUCCCGGUGUAGCGGUGAAAUGCGUAGAUAUCGGGAGGAACACCAGUGGCGAAGGCGGCGAUCUGGGUCGAUACUGACGCUGAGGUGCGAAAGCGUGGGGAGCAAACAGG